CCUGUGCUUGUCCUAGAAUCGGCACCGAGGACAACGCCUCCGUUAUAGGUUACUCCAAUGAUGGUCGUUCCCAUCGAAUGAGGAGCAUCUAGAUGAAGAUCCAUUGAAGCAAAUCGAGCGUCGAAAACCCUAGAUAGCAAAGAAAUCCAAAGCCCUUGCAGCUGAGAAAUUGAUAUCGAUCGAAAAAAGAGCCCUCAAAAAAACCCAAAAGCUAUGGCAGAGG